AUUGAACGCUGGCGGCAGGCCUAACACAUGCAAGUCGAACGAGUGGCGGACGGGUGAGUAAUGUCUGGGAAACUGCCUGAUGGAGGGGGAUAACUACUGGAAACGGUAGCUAAUACCGCAUACCAUCGGAUGUGCCCAGAUGGGAUUAGCUAGUAGGUGGGGUAAAGGCUAACCUAGGCUACGAUCCCUAGCUGGUCUGCGAGGAUGACCAGCCACACUGGAACUGAGACACGGUCCAGACCCCUCCGGGAGGCAGCAGUGGGGAAUAUUGCAAAAUGGGCGAAAGCCUGCUGCAGCAAGGCCGCGUGUAUGAAGAAGGCCUUCGGGUUGUAAAGUACUUUCAGCGGGGAGGCGUUACCCGCAGAAGAAGCAACGGCUAACUCCGUGCCAGCAGCCGCGGUAAUAC
rnacentral:rRNA from 1 species